CUGACAGAAACUGCAUUGCACUCCUCGGCCUUCAGGGUGGAUUGAUUUGUUGAGGGAGCUAGAGUGAUUAGAUCUUCUCUCGACAGAAGGGCAAAAUGUCUGUGCAACCUCCGAAGUCUGACAGAGUACCACCGAGAGAGCCACCCCCGCCCCCGCCAAGUAAACGCCAUACAACACUGAAGGACACCCAAGCAAAAGACGAGACUCCGCCAGCUUGGGCUAAGGAGAUGAUGGCUUAUAUUCAGACUCAGUUUGAAGAGUUAAAGACUCAGUUAGCAGCAAUGAAAACCCAGAUGGAUGCCAUCACAGCUGGGACUACGAAGAACUUGCCUUCUGCAUCCAAGGAUAAGAAUCCAAAGAAAUGAGGGGACUGACUGAGCUAGCAAUGAGGGGACGGAGUCAGCAUCCCUUGCACUAUCCAUGUUUGCUUGUGUUUAACUAUUUAUGUGUCUGCAUUUUAUUUUUAAAGUAAGACUCCAUCUACAUUUCUGGUGUCAACUGCGGUGGAAGAGAAGUGUCCUGUUGCCAAGCUUCUAUAUGAGACUCCUGAACAACACAGUGUGUGUUGAAUGUUUUAUUAUUUAUGUCGUUAUAUGCGUUACGUGGCUAUUUUCUUAUAUCUGUAUUGUUGGUAAAAGAUAUUAUAGGUUUGUUUGAUAAAACUUUUUAGAGAGAGUUUUAUAUUUUUUGGGUUGAAAGUGUUAUGAUAUAAAGGUGAAAGUAAUUUUGAGGUA